GGGUCAGUAGGUUGGUCGUGCCACCGGUACGUACUGGUCUCACUGAUUCCUCCUUCCUGAAGAACCGUAAUGCCAUUAAUUUGGUGUUGCGGGGAAACAGGACUGUUACUUUGAAAAAAUUAGAGUGUUUAAAGCAAGCUAACGCUUAAAUAAAUUAGCAUGGAAUAAUGAAAUAGGACGAUCGAUCCUAUUUUGUUGGUUUCUAGGAUUGACGUA
rnacentral:rRNA from 1 species